rnacentral:rRNA from 1 species
GAUGAACGCUGGCGGCGUGCCUAAUACAUGCAAGUAGAACGCUGAAGGAAGGAGCUUGCUCUUUCCGGGUGAGUUGCGAACGGGUGAGUAACGCGUAGGUAACCUGCCUGGUAGCGGGGGAUAACUAUUGGAAACGAUAGCUAAUACCGCAUAACAGUAGAUGUUGCAUGAUAUCUACUUAAAAGGUGCAAUUGCACCACUACCAGAUGGACCUGCGUUGUAUUAGCUAGUUGGUGAGGUAACGGCUCACCAAGGCGACGAUACAUAGCCGACCUGAGAGGGUGAUCGGCCACACUGGGACUGAGACACGGCCCAGACUCCUACGGGAGGCAGCAGUAGGGAAUCUUCGGCAAUGGACGGAAGUCUGACCGAGCAACGCCGCGUGAGUGAAGAAGGUUGUCGGAUCGUAAAGCUCUGUUGUAAGAGAAGAACGAGUGUGAGAGUGGAAAGUUCACACUGUGACGGUAUCUUACCAGAAAGGGACGGCUAACUACGUG